rnacentral:rRNA from 1 species
AGAGUUUGAUCAUGGCUCAGAUUGAACGCUGGCGGCAGGCCUAACACAUGCAAGUCGAGCGGUAGCACAGAGAGCUUGCUCUCGGGUGACGAGCGGCGGACGGGUGAGUAAUGUCUGGGAAACUGCCUGAUGGAGGGGGAUAACUACUGGAAACGGUAGCUAAUACCGCAUAAUGUCGUAAGACCAAAGUGGGGGACCUUCGGGCCUCAUGCCAUCAGAUGUGCCCAGAUGGGAUUAGCUAGUAGGUGGGGUAACGGCUCACCUAGGCGACGAUCCCUAGCUGGUCUGAGAGGAUGACCAGCCACACUGGAACUGAGACACGGUCCAGACUCCUACGGGAGGCAGCAGUGGGGAAUAUUGCACAAUGGGCGCAAGCCUGAUGCAGCCAUGCCGCGUGUGUGAAGAAGGCCUUCGGGUUGUAAAGCACUUUCAGCGGGGAGGAAGGCGUUAAGGUUAAUAACCUUGGCGAUUGACGUUACCCGCAGAAGAAGCACCGGCUAACUCCGUGCCAGCAGCCGCGGUAAUACGGAGGGUGCAAGCGUUAAUCGGAAUUACUGGGCGUAAAGCGCACGCAGGCGGUCUGUCAAGUCGGAUGUGAAAUCCCCGGGCUCAACCUGGGAACUGCAUUCGAAACUGGCAGGCUAGAGUCUUGUAGAGGGGGGUAGAAUUCCAGGUGUAGCGGUGAAAUGCGUAGAGAUCUGGAGGAAUACCGGUGGCGAAGGCGGCCCCCUGGACAAAGACUGACGCUCAGGUGCGAAAGCGUGGGGAGCAAACAGGAUUAGAUACCCUGGUAGUCCACGCCGUAAACGAUGUCGAUUUGGAGGUUGUGCCCUUGAGGCGUGGCUUCCGGAGCUAACGCGUUAAAUCGACCGCCUGGGGAGUACGGCCGCAAGGUUAAAACUCAAAUGAAUUGACGGGGGCCCGCACAAGCGGUGGAGCAUGUGGUUUAAUUCGAUGCAACGCGAAGAACCUUACCUGGUCUUGACAUCCACAGAACUUAGCAGAGAUGCUUUGGUGCCUUCGGGAACUGUGAGACAGGUGCUGCAUGGCUGUCGUCAGCUCGUGUUGUGAAAUGUUGGGUUAAGUCCCGCAACGAGCGCAACCCUUAUCCUUUGUUGCCAGCGGUCCGGCCGGGAACUCAAAGGAGACUGCCAGUGAUAAACUGGAGGAAGGUGGGGAUGACGUCAAGUCAUCAUGGCCCUUACGACCAGGGCUACACACGUGCUACAAUGGCAUAUACAAAGAGAAGCGACCUCGCGAGAGCAAGCGGACCUCAUAAAGUAUGUCGUAGUCCGGAUUGGAGUCUGCAACUCGACUCCAUGAAGUCGGAAUCGCUAGUAAUCGUAGAUCAGAAUGCUACGGUGAAUACGUUCCCGGGCCUUGUACACACCGCCCGUCACACCAUGGGAGUGGGUUGCAAAAGAAGUAGGUAGCUUAACCUUCGGGAGGGCGCUUACCACUUUGUGAUUCAUGACUGGGGUGAAGUCGUAACAAGGUAACCGUAGGGGAACCUGCGGUUGGAUCACCU